CUGCUUGAUGGCGGAGCGGCGCGCCGGGUCGUACAGGCGCUCCGGGUCCUCGCCGCCCUCACCGGUGUUCGACUUGCCGCCGAGCUGG
rnacentral:tRNA from 1 species